rnacentral:rRNA from 1 species
GCUAUGAGAUGAGCCUGCGUCGGAUUAGCUAGUUGGUAGGGUAAUGGCCUACCAAGGCGACGAUCCGUAGCUGGUCUGAGAGGACGAUCAGCCACACUGGGACUGAGACACGGCCCAGACUCCUACGGGAGGCAGCAGUGGGGAAUAUUGGACAAUGGGGGAAACCCUGAUCCAGCAAUGCCGCGUGUGUGAAGAAGGCCUUCGGGUUGUAAAGCACUUUCAGUGGGGAAGAAAUUCUCAAGGCUAAUACCCUUUUGAGCGUUGACGUUACCCACAGAAGAAGCACUGGCUAACUCUGUGCCAGCAGCCGCGGUAAUACAGAGAGUGCAAGCGUUAAUCGGAAUCACUGGGCGUAAAGCGCGCGUAGGUGGAUAUUUAAGUCGGAUGUGAAAGCCCUAGGCUUAACCUGGGAAUUACAUCCGAUACUAGGUAUCUCGAGUAUGAUAGAGGGAAGUGGAAUUUCCGGUGUAGCGGUGAAAUGCGUAGAUAUCGGAAAGAACAUCAGUGGCGAAGGCGGCUUCCUGGAGCAAUACUGACACUGAGGCGCGAAAGCGUGGGGAGCAAACAGGAUUAGAGACCCUGGUAGUCCACGCCGUCAACGAUGAGAACUAGCUGUUGGAAAGUUUAAUUUCUAGUAGCAAAGCUAACGCGUUAAGUUCUCCGCCUGGGGAGUACGGCCGCAAGGUUAAAACUCAAAGAAAUUGACGGGGGCCCGCACAAGCGGUGGAGCAUGUGGUUUAAUUCGAUGCAACGCGAAAAACCUUACCUACCCUUGACAUCCUCGGAACUUGUCAGAAAUGACUUGGUGCCUUUGGGAACCGAGUGACAGGUGCUGCAUGGCUGUCGUCAGCUCGUGUCGUGAGAUGUUGGGUUAAGUCCCGUAACGAGCGCAACCCUCGUCCUUAGUUGCCAGCGGUUCGGCCGGGAACUCUAAGGAGACUGCCGGUGAUAAACCGGAGGAAGGUGAGGAUGAUGUCAAGUCAUCAUGGCCCUUACGGGUAGGGCUACACACGUGCUACAAUGGGCAGUACAAAGGGUUGCCAAACCGUGAGGUAAAGCUAAUCCCAAAAAGCUGCUCGUAGUCCGGAUUGGAGUCUGCAACUCGACUCCAUGAAGUUGGAAUCGCUAGUAAUCGCGAAUCAGAAUGUCGCGGUGAAUACGUUCUCGGGCCU